rnacentral:lncRNA from 1 species
UGUGAACCUUAUUAGGAAGGAAGUCCCUGACUCAGAACGCUAGUGGGCGCUCUGCUCCUCAGGCAGCCCUCCCCGGCCUGGGGCAGAUCCCCCAGGCGACGGCUUCGAUGAAAGAUGGCAAAUGGGACCGGAAGAAGUUCAUGGGGACAGAGCUGAACGGGAAGACACUGGGAAUUCUUGGCCUGGGCAGAAUUGGAAGAGAGGUGGCCGCCCGAAUGCAGGCCUUUGGAAUGAAGACUGUAGGCUAUGACCCCAUCAUUUCUCCAGAAGUCGCUGCCUCCUUUGGUGUUCAGCAGCUGCCGCUAGAGGAGAUCUGGCCUCUCUGUGAUUUCAUCACUGUCCAUACCCCGCUCCUGCCCUCCACUACAGGUAGGCUCUCAGUAUGAGUUUUCUCCAGACACCAUCAAGCAAGUGUAGGGAGUGAGCUGCCUGGGGCCUGCUGAGCGUGGUGACACUUUGUCACAAGUCCUUGCUCAAAUGGAGGAGGGGUAAGCUCACCGAAAAAGCACAAGUAUCUAAAUAAAAUAAUACAACUGGCAUCUCGGGUAGAGGCUUCAUGGAACACUGCAGGGCAUUUGAUUCUUGGACCCACUCAAAGCACCAUCAUCUUUGAAACUUCUUGAAUCUAACCCACAUCCAGUACAAGGUCUGUUCUCCCAGAACAUCUAGGAAGACAGAAGAGAAAAUAAGGUAGCUGCUAUCCAGCAGAAAGAGGCCUCUGGGGAGAUGUGAAUUAACUGGGGUCCUGUGCUAAGUGAGGGGGUCAG